rnacentral:tRNA from 1 species
GGCCUGAUGGCCUAGGGGUAUGAUUCUCGCUUAGGGUGCGAGAGGUCCCGGGUUCAAAUCCCGGUCAGGCCC